rnacentral:misc_RNA from 1 species
GCAAUCGCGGCCCUCUGGGUCGCCUGGCCACGUCGGCGGCGAGAGCCCUGGCGGUGCGGGGAGCAAUCCCCGCUUCAGGUUGUUCGCUAACACCCGUGUCUACUACCUUCUGUUGCUUUGGCGGGCCGCUUCGGCGCGGCUCCGGCCGUCUGUGCCCGCCAGAGGACCCCAAACUCUUUUAUUUAGUGACGUCUGAGUACUAUAUAAUAGUUA